GGUUCCGUAUAGUCGCCGUGACGCUAGUCCAGCCACCUGAUUGGUCCCUGUGAUCACGUGACAUGAUCGUUCCCUAUUAUUGGUCAAACUGCUGCGAGGCCACGAACGCUGCGAUUACGUUCACGCCGCCGGUCUAACAGCCGCGAGAAUUUCGUUUAUUCCUCUGCCGCCAUUUGAUAAAGGCCGGUCUCGCAUAGUGGUUUGGUGUUCACGGCUUCACGAACUUGAAAAGAAGCCCUAGCCUAAUUAUUCCUUGUUGCCGGAAAACAUUGAGACAGUGAUUCAUACGAUUCGAGUUUUGGAGGAGACACAUUCAUUCAGCCUUUCGCAAUUUACUAUUUUCUGUAUAUACGUUGCAAACGUUAUUUCAUUUUAUUUCUACAUAUAUAAAGUAAUAAUCUUUCAACAUUCAUUAUAGUGUACUAUAAGUAAAACGUUUGUAAACGUAAACCCUACGUAUAUGCAACGUCUUUGUUGAAAUGAAAUAUUUUCAUAAUAUAUCUACAAUAUAUUUAAUUGUACGGCUAUAAGUAUGUCCACUGGACAUAACCUCCAGAAUUUUUGCGAGUACAUAUUAUAUAAUAC